UUCUAGCUCCUUGCCUAGGUUGUCUCCUCGCCGGCUCCCUCCUGCUUCACGCCGACUCCCUUCGUGAGAUGUACCAGGCCACCACCGAUCUCCUGGCUCCUGGGAUUGACGAGCUGAUUGCCAGCGAGCCCCUCCCCGACCCGCCCUUGUUCCUCUGUCACACCCUUUGCCGUUCGGCGGGUCGUAUGCAGAAGCUGCCGGUGGAGUUCCAGAUCGCGCACAGCUAAGAGAAGAGGGGCAUGGCGGUGCUGGGGAUGCGUGGGAAGUCAUGGUCCCUGAAACCUGAAGCACAAUAUCUUGCAGAAGUGGGAUUGCUAGAUGCGGAGCAAUGAUAAGAAGAUGAUUUCAGUCCAGAUGCGUGCUGCAUGUUGAUCCACAGUCAAAUGAAAAUAUACUACUAAACUUCAGGAGAACAUUGUUUACCAAUUACUUAUUAUUUGGCUGGAAUUUAUUAUUGAAGGAGUUUACUGAGAAGCGUAAAGAUGUAUUCCAUAUAAUUUACAAAUAGACACUGUGUUCAUUAA